UGGGGUGUGGCUCAGCAGCAGAGUGCUUGCCUCUCAUGUGGGAGACACUGGAUUCGAUUCUCAGCACCACAU
rnacentral:tRNA from 1 species